GAGCGUCUCCAUCCCACUUUUGGGGAUUCAGAGCAUCUUGGUGAAACCUCAGGGGCUCAGAGCUCCCGCCUGAAGAAGCCCUCUUUAUUCAGGUGCAGUUCCCUUUCCCAAACGUUCUCCGGGGCUGUGCGUUCCGCAGACACAUUUGGGAAACGCAGUGCCAGAUGUUGAUGCUGUCCCGGGUUCGGGGAAGGGAAAGUACAGGUAUCUCACCUCCACAGGUGGCCUCCAUGAACCAGCGCCGUGUGGAUUUCUACCUUGCCUCCAUCGAAGACAUGCUGGUGGCCGUCGGCGGCCGGAAUGAGAACGGAGCGCUCUCUUCGGUAGAGACGUACAGUCCCAAGACUGACUCCUGGUCCUAUGUGGCCGGCUUGCCAAGGUUCACGUAUGGCCACGCGGGCACCAUCUACAAAGACUUCGUGUACAUCUCGGGGGGCCACGACUACCAAAUCGGCCCCUACCGCAAGAACCUGCUAUGCUACGACCACCGGACAGACGUGUGGGAGGAGCGGCGGCCCAUGACUACGGCGCGCGGCUGGCACAGCAUGUGCAGCCUGGGUGACAGCAUCUACUCCAUCGGGGGCAGCGAUGACAACAUCGAGUCCAUGGAGCGCUUCGACGUGCUGGGCGUGGAGGCCUACAGCCCGCAGUGCAACCAGUGGACCCGCGUGGCGCCGCUGCUGCACGCCAACAGCGAGUCGGGUGUGGCAGUGUGGGAGGGCCGCAUCUACAUCCUGGGCGGCUACAGCUGGGAGAACACUGCCUUCUCCAAGACCGUGCAGGUGUACGACCGCGAGGCCGACAAGUGGAGCAGGGGUGUCGACCUGCCCAAGGCCAUCGCUGGCGGGUCCGCUUGUGUCUGCGCCCUGGAGCCGCGGCCAGAGGACAAGAAGAAGAAAGGCAAAGGCAAGAGGCACCAGGACCGGGGCCAGUGACCCCAGCUGCGCCUCCUGGGACCAUCCUCACCGUCACCUUCCAGGGCUCUGUAGACCAGCAGCAACUUCUUAGUAUUCUGGAAACAUUAUGUACAACUUAGCAGCUUUUUUUACUUUUAUGAUUCUUGGUAUUUCUAUGAUAUCACAGUAACCAAUUAAAUACUAUCUGUAACUUUACAUAUCUUGCUUGAAUAACUAACCCUGGGCCCAGGCAGUGAGCAACCCCUUGUAUCUUUGCAGGUCUUUGCCCCGUGUUACGAUUCCUCAUGGGUCCUUGCUAACCGUCCCCCUGAGAGUAGCUGGCACGUGGGUUACACAGAAAUUUCUGUAGUGAAGCUUGGGGCCUCAAAGGGGUCUCUUAGGUCACCUAGUCCAAGCCUCCCCAAACCUGGCUGAACUUUUCAGAAUACAGAUUCCUGAGCCCCGCUCAGAAUUAUGGAAUCCAAAAUCACCAGGAACGGGGAGGAGGUGGUGCCCAGAAACUGCAUUUUAACUGGUUCUUGGAAUUCUGGGUAUUAGCCACAUCUGGGAAUCACUGGCAAGGUCCAGUGUGUUUGUUUUGUAAAUGAGUGCACAGAGACCACCCAUGAGGGUGAGUGAGUGAGUGACCGGGGCCACGCAGCUCGCUGGACUGUCAGGUGAGACGUGGUGACUUCCCGCUGGGGAGCUGUUCUCCAUAUCAGGUGAACGCUGUCUCUGAAUAAUUCCAUCUUUCCUCAUUGGAAACCUUCUUGAAUUCUAAAACGUUACAGGUAACCAAAAACGAAAAAACGUGUGAAGCUCUUUAUAAAUAUUUUUUUGUAAUUUGUGCAUUUUUUUCCUUUUUUUUUUCUGAACCCACUGUCUUUUAUAUUACUGAUGUACUGAGCUCCCAAAUCUGUUUAUUUCUCAGGAAAGAAAAAGUGAGCGCUAUGGAAUUUGCCAUCGUUCUCUAUGACUCUAUCUUGAGGCGCUGUUGAAAGUUCCUGCACAGAGGAGCACAUGUGGAUCCCUGAGAAGGCAGUGGAGGGCUCCCUAACUCCCACGCCAGGUCCUGCCCCAGUUUUCUGCUUCUAAGUAGUUUCGUGCUGCUGGGCAAAUUCUCGAACAAGUCCAUGUGUUCCCUCAUCCACCCCCUUAGCCACAGGAUUAGACGGGAUACCCUCCAGGCUCCUCCCUGGUGAUAGGGCCAUUCAGCCUCUGAGCUGUUCAUACCCGCAUGGCAUCCCCUUCAGGAUGUGGAGGUGGCCUGCACUGACUCCUGCAAACAGUUCCUAGAGCAGGUAUCAGGGUUGCUUGCCCUUUAAGAGGGCUCUUAGCUGCCCGAGUGGAUGAGAAACGUGCAGAACUAUGGGAGGAUAGGAGUGUGAUGGGUUUUAAGCAUGAGGCAAGGAAGACAUGAAUGAGCUGUACCUCACCCAAUAUCUGAUGGCAGAGAUCAGUAAACUUCAAGAUGUGCUUCAUCUUAAAUCCUAGUCUAACACCAGUCUUCCUGCAGACAGUUCCGAGAGCAGGUCUCAAUGUCGCUUGCCCUUUAAGAGGGCUCUCAGCUGCUCGAGUGGUUGAGGAUCAAUGUGUUAAGAUUGAUAUUAGACUAGGAAAAAAAUCUUUGUUAACUUUUAUUUCCAUUUCUUCUGCUUCUUUGCUGCCUCUCCUUUCCCUUCCCUUCAGGGUUUACUGUGGUUCUCACUGAUCUGUUUAUGUAGCCAUCCAGAAGAGAUGAGAGCAUUUUGGGGACUGAAAGCUUCAAUAGCCAACUUACUGCCCUCCGUGGUUAGUGAGGAGGGCAGUCUGCAUAUUCAGCUAGGUAGUUAUUUGCAUGUGAAGUCCCUGGAGGCUUACAAACUGUUGAGAGGUUCUGCAAGACACACAAACAAACAGACCAAAAGGCUGGCAACUCUUCUUGGAGGUCUGCAGCAUUCCAGUGUAUGAAAGGUUCUGAGAAGUCUCAACCCAGAAUUUCCAAACUUCUUUGAGCCUAAAACUCGUUUGUCUCAUACCUAGUCCCAGACCCCCACAAAACAUGUUUUGCAGAACUUCUGCCAACUUUGGGAUAGCUUACCCCCUUCCUAUUCGGGAAAGGUUUUAUUGCUUGUAGACCCCUCAGAAGGCAGGGUAUGGUGUACAUGGGCUGUUCUCCCCAUCUCAGCCUGGGUCAUGAACAAACGGGCAGUUGUUUGGCCUGAAUCUCGGGGCAAGUUGGGGAGACCACAUAGAAAGACUCUGUGAGUGAUUUGGGGAGUGGGAUGUCUUUGACCUUGGAGAGAGGAGAGUCAUUGGUUUUUCGCCUAAGCCAGCUCUUUUAUGUUUUGCUUCUGGGACUUGUCCCUGGAAAUGUGUGAGCUUCUGGCCUCUAUUCUGAUUUUCUUGUGCCUCAUGAGUUACAUACGACGUCCUGCACCUAAUAUUUUGUGAUGUCUCUCCUGAUACUAUUAAGGUGGUUUGUAAUUUACCUGGCUUAAAAUCUAAUAUUACUAAGGUUGGGAGCUCUCCUUUAAAGGAAGGAUAAACAAGUUUCAUCUUGUGAGCCAACUUCUAAUAUUUGAUGGUGGCUACAUUGUGACAAGAAAGGUUUUUGAACUUGUUGGGUCAGUGGAUGGGCACAAGGGCACCCAGUGGUGGUACCCGGGCCAGGUUUUUGUUACUUGUCUUUUUAAGUUGAAAAUUCACCCUACUGUGCAGUCUAACUGAAAAUGGAAGAGACCAUGCCUGGGCAACAUGGCAAAACCCCAUCUCUACAAAAAAAUUACAAAAGAUUAGCCAGGGAUGGUGGGGCAUGCGGUAGUCCCAGCUACUUGGGAGGCUGAGGUGGGAGAAUCACCUGAGCCUGGGAGGUUGAGGCUGCAGUGAGCUAUGAUCACACCACUGCACUCUAACCUGGGUGACAGAGUGAGACCCUGUCUCAAAAGAAUAAAAUGUUUUUUAACUCAGAUGGGCAGAGUUUGGGCUGUACCUAUGCAGUGGCCAUUUGGACUGCACAGCAUGAUAGUGGGGUUUUAAACUAGAAUGAUGAAGGCACAGGUGCUUGCAGGCUGCCAUUUUGAGAUGGAAACAGCCACGUGUCAUCAUGUUAAACUGUCAGUGUUUCAAGCUGUUCUGCUUGAAUUUUGAAGACACCUGGAUCUUUUUUUUUUUUAAUAUUUCAAAAUAAGCAUGGCAGGCUUCUAUUGAGGUUUUGGCUUUUCUCAUUUCUAAAGAAUUAGAGUUGUAACUUCGUAUUAGUUGUAAGUUUGGGGUUUGGUCCUCACCCAAGUUGGAAAGCUGUUUGCUUAAGACAUAAAUGUAUUAUAAUAAUAGAAGGGAGGGAGUAGAAAGCUGAUGAACCCUUGUUACUUAUAGCAAACUUCCUGCUGUUUAAAAUGCACAGAGAUUAUUUUAUCAACUGUGCUUAGCACGCAAUUGGUAUUUUUAUUGUUCUGCCAUUUUAUUGAGGCUAUCAAAUGGGACUUCAGACCUGGCUCUGAGCAGGACCACAUGUGUGUAUUUAUAUUGAGUGCCCUCACUCAUGAUAAGGUGACUUCAUGGAGACCCAGAAACUAACCCUAAGGGGUGUUCAACUUUGAAGUGGCAUCCAAAUGCUGAGGGGAAGUGGUGUCCGUCCUCUGAGGUCUAGGGUCCUACUUUGUGAGCUCAGGUGUGUUCACCUGUGGUUCAGUGUACCUCAGCCCCUAAGGCAAGCGAUCGUUCAGUGACUUGCAGCAAUGUGGGAAGUGAGGGGACCCCUGCCACACCCUCCACCACCCCCUGUAGAGUCACUGACCUUCAUCCUUCACCGUGGUCCUCCAUGGUGCAGCAGCAUCUCAUGGGCCUUGUGGCUCUCAGAGCUCGUGGUUGGAACCCCGUCCACUGGUCCCAAACCUGGAGGGGCAGCUGCAGAUGAGGUUUAGACCUCCUGGUGUUUCCGUGGAUUCUGAGUGCCCGGGAGGGGAGGGGAGGGGGUGGCAUCCUGGCCUCCAGGAUAAAUGCCUGGAGUAUAGGGCAGUGCCACGGGCACUUGGAGACCCUGUCCUGCGCAUCUGCCAAGCCUGGCAGUUUUUAGAGUUUUUUGAAAUGUUUUGAUACUUUUUGAUACAAUUUGCUAAUAACUGUUUUGUAGAAUGCCUGCCGGGGUUUUCCACCUCAUCCCUUUCCUCCGGCCCCUUGAUUUGUGCUGGACAACAAAUGGCAGCACCAGGACCUCGCCUCGUGUGGCUUUGUCUUGGAUCUUGCCCUUCUCCGUCGCUGAUGCGAUACAGCUCUAGAAUUUCGUGAAGUUGCAUGCAAAGUUGCGUGCAGCCCGUGGGUAUGACUGUCUCAGGCCCCCAGCUGAUUUUCCAAGAGGAAACCUUAACCCCCUUGAGAGGGUCUGUGUUUCUUCUAGAGCUCCUACCUCAGUGGUGUGCACAGAGUUGGAGAGACACCUGAGGGCUGGUCCACGUCUCACCUUUGCCAUACGGGUCAUUUCUUGAUCAAAUAUGUGACUGGGGUCCUGGUUUACUCCCGUCCACCCUUUCUUUUAAAGUAUUCUUAACAUGAAAUCCACAAAAGCGGAAACAAUGAACCAUUCUUGCACUUUACAGAAUCGUUGUCCUUAGCUUUAGAGGUUGUUAAUUUCUUGUUUUUAACAUGAACAGAAUGUGUGGUUCUGAAGGUGUGUGGGGAUCUGAAGAAAUUGUCCUUUGGGGCCGGGCGUGGUGGCUCACGCCUGUACUCCCAGCACUUUGGGAGGCCAAGGGGGAUGGAUCACUUGAGGUCAAGAGUUUGAGACCACCCUGACCAACAUGGCGAAAACCCCGUCUCUACUAAAAUACAAAAAUUAGGCAGUCGUGGUCACCUGUAAUCUCAGCUCUUCGGGAGGCUGAGGCAGGAGAAUUGCUUGAACCCAGGAGGCAGAGGUUGCAGUGAGCUGAGAUUGCGCCACUGCACUCCAGCCUGGGUGACAGAGUAACACUCUGUCUCUAAAAAAAAAAAAGAAAAAUAAGAAAAAUAAAAAAAGAAAUUGUCCUUUGGUUGCCUUAGUUACCAGAGUUGAAUGAAUGUACACGUUUCGGUAGUGGCGGGGGCAGAGUGGGUAACCCCUUCCUUGUCUGUUUCCUUUGAGAAAGGACACUCCACCUUUUCAAAGUUACUUAAAGCCAUCUUUACAGAUUGCUUGUAAUGUAAGGAAAGAGUCCUGUCCUUUGGAUUGAUUGAGGUUAAAUCAUCAACCACUAGGCUCCUUUCAAAAUCAGCGAGAUAUUUGAUGAUUAAGUGAUUCAUUGGGUAUGUUCUGGCUACUGAUGUUACUGAAAUCUGCAAUCGUGUAUGUUUUUUAAUUUGUUGCUUUUGUAUUUGUAAUUUUAUGACAUUUCGAAGUUUCUGUGUCUUAACUCUUUUUAAUUAAUUUUCUGCACGUUGUUUUUUUCUCUUUGUUUUUAAUUCCAUACAGAGUAUUCAAUUCUUGAAACACAUUAAAAUAAUUUGCUUGCUAGGGUAUGGUUUAUUUUAUAAUUACAUUCCUAGUCUUGUGUGGUUAUUGUAAUGAUGUCUGGUCCUAAUUUCUCUGCCCGUAUGAAAAAGAACCCCUUGCAUGUUGAUCCUAAAUAUAAUUUGGAAAUUAA
rnacentral:sRNA from 1 species